GUUUGUGGGGCUGGAUCCCAAUGGGCAGGACAUCUGCCUAUACCCUGGAAUAAGAAUAUACAGUCUCUUCUAGCACUGACAGUUGUCUCUUUAUGUAGGGUGAGCUAACAGCAGCCACUCCCAUCCUGUGGGAUCCUGCUCCCGUUGCCAUAACUGAUUAACCCAGGGUAAGACAUUGGGAAUUGGAAACUUGGAGUGGAAAGGCUCUGAUCGUGGUGGUCCCUGGAGUCAAAUCCCAUUCCAUGGCAAUGUUCUGGAAGGUGGAUGAUAAGAGACAGCAGCCAGCAGAAGGAAAGUAGAGAUCCGAACACCUAAGAGGAAUCCUAAACAGUGGAGAAAGGAGAGCAAACAUUAAAAACUCAUGGAUAGAAAAAAAAGAGGAAAAGAAAACCAUUUGGAAAUGUUCAUUGAGUUGAUGCACUGGAUAAUUUAAUAAGCUGUCUGUUCUGAUCUGUCUUGCUUCCUUGCUCUUAGCAGGGUGCCAUAUGAAAGCUCCUACAUGGAUGAAUAUUCAUCCCAUCUGCACCACUUACUGGCC